rnacentral:rRNA from 1 species
CCUAGGCUCAUACGGGAUGUUUUGAAUUUAAUUGUUUGUAAAAAUGCAGACAUGUGAGAGAGGGACAGAGAAGACCCUAUAGAUCUUAAAAAAGUUUUUAAUUAAAUUUUGAUUGGAAAUUUUUUUUAUUUGGGGAAAAUCCUGAAAUGUAUUAAAACUUCGGUUAAUAAAAAAAUUUAAUAAUUAAUUUUUGAUCCAUUUGUAGAGUGAAAAAAUGAAAAAGUUACCUUAGGGAUAACAGCGAUUAUGGAGGUCACCGGUUCGUAGGUUUCGAACAGAAACUGUCGGAAUCUCUGAUCGAAAUGGGUUCCCGCCCUCGCUUACCUUAGGGAUAACAGCGA